rnacentral:rRNA from 1 species
UACGGAGGGUCCAAGCGUUGUCCGGAUUCAUUGGGUGUAAAGGGUGCGCAGGCGGGCCUGUAAGUCAGAGGUGAAAUCCCACGGCCUAACCGUGGAACUGCCUUUGAUACUGCAGGUCUUGAGUCCUGGAGAGGUCGCCGGAAUUCGUGGUGUAGCGGUGAAAUGCGUAGAUAUCACGAGGAACGCCGGAGGUGUAGACGGGUGACUGGACAGGUACUGACGCUCAGGCACGAAAGCGUGGGGAGCAAACAGG